UACGGAGGGUGCGAGCGUUGUCCGGAAUCACUGGGCGUAAAGGGCGCGUAGGCGGUCCACUAAGCGUGUGGUGAAAGUCCGGGGCUCAACCCCGGAUCGGCCGUGCGAACUGGGGGACUCGAGCACUGUAGAGGCGGGUGGAAUUCCGGGUGUAGCGGUGGAAUGCGUAGAGAUCCGGAAGAAGACCGGUGGCGAAGGCGGCCUGCUGGCGAGAACCUGACGCUGAGGCGCGACAGCGUGGGGAGCAAACAGG
rnacentral:rRNA from 1 species